UGGUCGAUGAUGACGUGACCACUGCGCAAUCUGAGUUCUGGGAACUAGGUGAUGGAGCUGUGUUCUGAGAACGGACUGAGACCG